AGGGUUUGAUUCUGGCUCAGGAUGAACGCUGGCGGCGUGCUUAACACAUUCAAGUCGAACGGAGUUAUCAUUCGGAAGCCUUCGGGCGGAAGAGAGAUAACUUAGUGGCGGACGGGUGAGUAACGCGUGAGCAACCUGCCUCUGUAUGGGGAAUAACGUCGGGAAACUGACGCUAAUACCUCAUGAUACGUGACGACCGCAUGAUCGACACGUCAAAGAAUUAUUGUACAGAGAUGGGCUCGCGUCUGAUUAGAUAGUUGGCAGGGUAACGGCCUACCAAGUCGACGAUCAGUAGCCGGACUGAGAGGUUGAACGGCCACAUUGGAACUGAGAUACGGUCCAG
rnacentral:rRNA from 1 species